AAUGUGAAAGGGAAUACCUCGCAAACAUCCAUACUCCCAAGAUUGCAUCUCUCCAAGGAAAGAGCCCAAGCUAUCUGGUGGGACCAAUCCAAGCAACCCAAUAACACCAUUGGAACAAGAAUGACUAACUUCAACCUGUUCAUGUAUGCUUUAUUUUAUCAGAUUUUGAAUACUGAUGUGUUUAUUCCGCUAUUAAAUAAAGUUAGACAUGUUAGUAGGAUUUCAAUGUUCAUAUAUCAUUUUGUACUUUUUUAGGUUAUAAUCUUUUUCAUUCACAAAAUUGAGAAAAUAUCAAGUUUUAGUCAAAGAGAAUAGGUGAAUCAAUAAGAGCAUAUGAGUCAAUAAAAAAAACGCAAUAAAAUAUUCAUGAUACCA